rnacentral:rRNA from 1 species
AAAUGAAUAGACGGGGACCCGCACAAGCGGAGGAGCGCGUGGUUUAAUUCGACGGCAAUCGAAGAACCUUACCAGGGUUUGAAAUGUAUCUGCAUGCCCUAUGAAAAUAGGGAGGCUUUCGAAGGUGAUACACAGGUGCUGCAUGGCCGUCGUCAGCUCGUGUCGUGAGAUGUAGGGUUAAGUCCCGAAACGAGCGCAACCCCUAUCCUAUGUUACAAGUGUCUUAGGAAACCGCCUCGGUAAAACGAGGAGGAAGGUGGGGAUGACGUCUGGUCCGCAUAGCCCUUAUGUCCUGGGCUACACACGCGCUACAAUGGCCGAUACAAUGGGAAGCCAAAUCGUAAGAUGGAGCUGAUCCUCAAAAUUGGUCUCAGUUCGGAUUGAGGUCUGAAACUCGACCUCAUGAAGUCGGAUUCGCUAGUAAUCGUGAAUCAGCCAUGUCACGGUGAAUACGUUCUCGGGUCUUGCACACACCGCCCGU